CCUCUUCUUCUUGGUGGGGGUCCUAGUAAUAUAUGGAGGCAGAGGGAAGGGCUCUGCCCCCUUGGUGUCCUGUCUUUGGUGCCCAUGGUUUCCGGUCCAGUGGUUCUAUCCUCUGGCAGGGACAUGG